GGAAGACUCUAGGUUAGUUGCUGCUGUUCAACCUGUCUCCAGGGACCCAAAUCUAUGCCCUAACGUAAUUCAAGAUACUCCUUUGAGAUUACUCCUAGAGGAAAACAAAGGUUACAAUGAGGAAAAGAUCAUGCACUCAGCAGAGAAAGCAAGACUGGAGAAGAUGGCUUAGAGAUGAUAAAGUAAAUAUAUCUCAAUAUUAAGAGAGAGAAAAAGUAACACCCUUCUCCUCCUCUGCAUCCACACACAUUAGUUGUUUACAAAAGUGCCUUGUAGUGACUGCUGGCGGUGUCACUCGGUCCCAUGCCCCAGAGCUAUCACCGGGCCUCAUGGGAGAUGUGACUGCAGCAUCGGACAUGGGACUGUUUGUUCACUCACUUUCUGUGAAGAGAGUUUUGAACUGUGUUUUGAAUAGACAGCAUUUUCUUUGUGUGGUUGGUAAAUAACACAGAGCAAAGUUAGUCAGCAAGUUGCAUAGCUUCUGCAUUCUGAUUCUUUGGAGCCCUUUUGUACCAAGCUUGACAGGAUGUUUUUAACAAAAUGUGACCUCACUGGGAUACCAGAGCAGAAGACAGUAAGCGGAUCGAGUCCAGUUCUUCAUCCACGUCCUCAAAGCAGCAGUGCAAGAACUGGGGCGGUGGCAAAUGCAGUGAGACCAGCAGAGAGUGGCCCUCUGGACCCCUGCACAGGCUCACUAGGUAAAGGUAAGGAGAAACCAAUAUCAUUGCGUUUUCUGGGUAAGACCAUGCGUGUUUUUGUCACAGAUGUGUGACUGCUGUUGGUAGUUUUACUGGGACAAGCAGUGGGCAGGUGCAGGCAGGGGGUUAGCAGCUGUGCAGUGCCCCCCACGCCUCCCUCUGCUGGCUGGAGUGUCGUGGGCAGGAGGGAGAGAGUGCUGCUGCCAGCAGCAUUUUGGGGUUCCUGCUCCUUCUGGGCUGUCCACAGGGCUGGUAGAAUUAGGGUGUAGCAAUGUAUGGCUUGAAAGGGAGAGAAAUCGGAGUGUUCAAGUUGUCGUGGAAGA
rnacentral:lncRNA from 1 species